rnacentral:rRNA from 1 species
GGCUCAGAUUGAACGUUGGCGGCAGGCCUAAAACAUGCAAGUCGAACGGUAACAGCGGAAGCUUGCUUCCGGCUGACGAGUGGCGGACGGGUGAGUAACACGUAGGAAUCUACCUAGUAGUGGGGGACAACCCGGGGAAACCCGGGCUAAUACCGCAUACGCUCUACGGAGGAAAGCAGGGGAUCUUCGGACCUUGCGCUAUUGGAGGAGCCUGCGUCGGAUUAGCUAGUUGGUGGGGUAAAGGCCUACCAAGGCGACGAUCCGUAGCUGGUCUGAGAGGACGAUCAGCCACACUGGAACUGAGACACGGUCCAGACUCCUACGGGAGGCAGCAGUUAGGAAUCUUGGGCAAUGGGCGCAAGCCUGACCCAGCCAUGCCGCGUGUGUGAAGAAGGCCUUCGGGUUGUAAAGCACUUUCAGCGGUGAAGAAAAGCUCGGGGCUAAUACCUCCGAGUCUUGACGUUAACCACAGAAGAGGCACCGGCUAACUCCGUGCCAGCAGCCGCGGUAAUACGGAGGGUGCGAACGUUAAUCGGAAUCACUGGGCGUAAAGCGCGCGUAGGCGGUUUGUUAAGUGGGAUGUGAAAUCCCCGGGCUUAACCUGGGAAUUGCAUUUCAAACUGGCCGACUAGAGUACGGUAGAGGGAGGUAGAAUUUCCUGUGUAGCGGUGAAAUGCGUAGAUAUAGGAAGGAAUACCAGAGGCGAAGGCGGCCUCCUGGAUCGAUACUGACGCUGAGGCGCGAAAGCGUGGGGAGCAAACAGGAUUAGAUACCCUGGUAGUCCACGCCGUAAACGAUGAGAACUAGCCGUUGGAUCCCUUGAGGGUUUAGUGGCGUAGCUAACGCGAUAAGUUCUCCGCCUGGGGAGUACGGCCGCAGGCUAAAACUCAAAU